rnacentral:tRNA from 2 species
GCGUUUAUGGUGAAGCCUGGUUAACACAGCUGACUGUGACUCAGUGAUACAUGAGUUCGAAUCUCAUUAAACGCCCCA